CUAGUCACGCGGAAUGAGCGAUUAUACACAUAUUUACUGGGUUUAGGGGCAUAGUUCGAACAAGCCAACCAUUGUUCAACACCUUGUUACUUCCUCCUUUCUCUAAUAUUCCUACGCCAUAAAAAGCACAAAUCGACAUUAACAGUAGACCUCAAAUCAGCGAAGGCUAUUUGGUUCCUAAAAUCGACCGAUCUCAUUUAUCUAGACGUCACAACUGUAUACGAAAGUAACGAAGCAUUCUGGUAAACAUGGAGCAUUUACCUAGGAAACAAAACAAAUUAGUACAGGCUAUAGAGAGAAAUGACUGGCCAGCAGUAAGAAACAUCCUGGAAAAUGAACCGCACCUUAAUGAAACUUUUCAUGAGGUAAGUACUCAGUUGCUACUAAAUUUAUGAUCCACUCCAGAUGUGAUUUUUAGUAAAUUAUUCAUAAAAUAUUAUAUACUAUUACCUCGGGCUAACAAAUCUCACAAAAAUAAUCCCAUAAUAUAUUUUGCUUUUAUUUAAAAAAAAUAUUUAAAAAACACACACACACAUCACUGCAACUAAGAAUGAGGUAACUAGUC